GGAGGGGUGACCGAGUGGUUGAUGGUGCUGGUCUUGAAAACCAGUGUGGUCGUCAGAUCACCGGGGGUUCAAAUCCCUCCCCCUCCG
rnacentral:tRNA from 1 species